rnacentral:rRNA from 1 species
UUGAAAGGGAAACGAUUGAAGUCAGUCGUACCUGUGGGUAAUCAGCCUUUUGGGUGUGAUUUUGUGGAGUGUGAGGAGUUAAACGCCUUCAUGCCUGCAUAUUCGUGCACUUUGGGUGUAUUUACCCGUGUGGUAAGUUAACAUCAAUUUCGGUGGUCAUAGAAUGGCUGGAGGAAUGUAGCUUCGAUCUUGUAUUGAAGUGUUAUAGCCUUCGGUAGAUGUGAUGAUCGGGAUUGAGGAUUGCAACGGAUACCCCUCGGGGCUACCUGUCUGAUCUCUGAUCGUUGCUCUGGUGCCGAAAGCUUGCUUACGGUUAUCAAAGUCGAUGGUUAAUAGGUUAGAACGGGUUAAAUUCGUUAAGGAUGUUGACGUA